rnacentral:rRNA from 1 species
CCUACGGGAGGCAGCAGUGAGGAAUAUUGGUCAAUGGACGCAAGUCUGAACCAGCCAUGCCGCGUGCAGGAUGACUGCUCUAUGAGUUGUAAACUGCUUUUGUACGAGGGUAAACCCCCAUACGUGUAGCGGGUGGAAAGUAUCUUACGAAUAAGGAUCGGCUAACUCCGUGCCAGCAGCCGCGGUAAUACGGAGGAUGCGAGCGUUAUCCGGAUUUAUUGGGUUUAAAGGGUGCGUAGGCGGUUUUAUAAGUUAGAGGUGAAAUGUCGGGGCUCAACCCCGAUACUGCCUCUAAUACUGUUGAACUAGAGUAUAGGUGAGGUAGGCGGAAUGUAUGGUGUAGCGGUGAAAUGCAUAGAGAUCAUACAGAACACCGAUUGCGAAGGCAGCUUACCAACCUAUAUCUGACGUUGAGGCACGAAAGCGUGGGUAGCAAACAGGAUUAGAUACCCGGGUAGUC